CAACAAAAACAGCAUCCCAAGCCCAGUGCCCACCAAGCCCGGCACCCCAGGCAGUCACCUGGGUCUCCUGCCCCUAAAUCCGGUCCUGAUUACAACCCUGCUUGACUGCAAGGCCAGCUGGUACAGGUGAUCCUCGGAGCCAAGCUUUACCACUUACACAUGCAUGACUACCGCAUGCUAAACCCAGAACAAAAUACCCAGGCUCCAGCAUCCAGUCAGAUGUGACAGGAAAUCAGGACGGUAGUGGGAGACAGGUGCCGUUGUCAGCUGCCAACCAUUGAACCAGAGCCAGUGAUUCAGUUCCAUUCAGGUUCUCAUCUUAGAGGCUCACUAUUGUAGUACUGGUGCACCUUCCAGUAGUGCACUAAGCAAUGUGACUACACAUCUGUCACGUGUUGUUUGUUCUCUCAUCCUGUCCUAAGGGGAGAAGGCAUGUAGUGGAGUGUCUUGUUUUGGUAGUUUUGUUGUUGUGGGCUUUGUUUAACAAAUGUAUAGCUACAUGUAUACUUAGAGAAGACUAAGGCAAAGAAAAGUCUUACACAGGUCACAUGCGACCACAGGAGUCAGCCCACGCAGUGGAUCAGAGGUCAUCGAGCAUUGUAAUUGACAUCCUACAUGAGCAACAUUACGCAGCUGGGCAUAGAGGCAAAGGGGAACAGCUGAUGAGCACACACUGUGCUGCAUAGGGAAAGUUACAGAGCAAAUAGAAUUGCCAAGGGUGGAUUUCAAACCUUAUAGACUUCCACGUAGAAGUUAAGUACAUUGUGAAGCAAGAUGCCAGAGACAUACAUCAAACAAGAAGGAACAAAAAUCUGAUUGUGAAGGAGGGGAUGUUGAUUCGUCUGAGUCUAUAAUACACCCAUCUCAAGGUGCACUUUU